UUCCUUCAGUUAAUGUAUGAAUAUGUUCGUAGAUUUCUUCAGCAAAUUCUUAGUACCUAUACGUCCAUGAAUACAAACCUAAAAACUGUUUUUUCUCAUUCUAAUGUGCUGCGUUAAAAUCUUCAUACGUUCCAAUAUUUGGCCAUCUCUUCCGACCUAAACAGUACGAUGAUCCCCCGCCGCGAUACUCAUCAAUUAAUCCCUUUAAUAUUCAGGAUAAAAAUAAACCUAAACCGCAGCCACGGCAAAAAUUGCCCCCACCAGGUCCAAGCGCUCCACCAGCUUUACAAGAUAUACCAAAUUUGCCAAACGUUCCAAGUGAUUUGCCGGAGUUCCCGGCGGAGG